rnacentral:rRNA from 1 species
GACGAACGCUGGCGGCGUGCUUAACACAUGCAAGUCGAACGAUGAAGCCUUUCGGGGUGGAUUAGUGGCGAACGGGUGAGUAACACGUGGGUAAUCUGCCCUGCACUCUGGGAUAAGCCCGGGAAACUGGGUCUAAUACCGGAUAUGACUUUCUUACGCAUGUAGGAAGGUGGAAAGUUCCGGCGGUGCAGGAUGAACCCGCGGCCUAUCAGCUUGUUGGUGGGGUAAUGGCCUACCAAGGCGACGACGGGUAGCCGGCCUGAGAGGGCGACCGGUCACACUGGGACUGAGACACGGCCCAGACUCCUACGGGAGGCAGCAGUGGGGAAGUAUUGCACAAUGGGCGAAAGCCUGAU